UGCAUAAGGUGAAAAGUGAGUGGAAAUUGUAGAAGCUGAAUGAGUAAGUCUUUAGACUAUAGUCUUUAAUCUAACUAAAGACUAAGACUAAGCCUAGAGCCUGUAGUCUUUAGACCUUUAGACUGUAGUAUAGUCUUAGGCUAUAGGUGCUGGGCAAGUAAGCCAGUAUUGAACGUAGAUUUUUCUAAGACCUGUUAAAGCAAGGGAUCUUUGUUUCUUAAAUUCUUCUGAUAUAAAAAUGCUUCAUUGAUCUUCUUUGAAACACUGUCCUCUCAUUUUUAGGUAACCUAAAGUUUUUCUCAAAAAAAUAUGAGAGCAUUUGUUUUAUGAAUGAGUACUGAGAAACAAGAUGAAUGAAUUGUUAAUCAUUCAGCACAUUUGUGUCACAGUUAGAUUUUGGAGUCACCCCUCAAAGUUAUAAUGAUCUGUAAUUAGCUUGAAGAAAUUGUAGAUUAUCAAGAACUGAUUAGAAUCUACUUGUUUUUGCUUCUUUUGGAAAUGUUGGGUAUAUUCUGGUCCCCUUUUACACAAAGUUUUUGAAAACUUUUUAAAAUACUCUUCCACAUUAGCAUAGUACUAUCUUUCUGAUCAUUUUUUCUCAAUUUGAUAGAGGAAAAAAGUUAGGUCAGGAUAACAGAGACUGGGAUAUA
ensembl:lncRNA novel transcript, sense intronic to PPP2R5A